rnacentral:rRNA from 1 species
AUUGAACGCUGGCGGCAGGCUUAACACAUGCAAGUCGAGCGGGGUGAUGGUGCUUGCACUAUCACUUAGCGGCGGACGGGUGAGUAAUGCUUAGGAAUCUGCCUAUUAGUGGGGGACAACAUUUCGAAAGGAAUGCUAAUACCGCAUACGUCCUACGGGAGAAAGCAGGGGAUCUUCGGACCUUGCGCUAAUAGAUGAGCCUAAGUCGGAUUAGCUAGUUGGUGGGGUAAAGGCCUACCAAGGCGACGAUCUGUAGCGGGUCUGAGAGGAUGAUCCGCCACACUGGGACUGAGACACGGCCCAGACUCCUACGGGAGGCAGCAGUGGGGAAUAUUGGACAAUGGGCGGAAGCCUGAUCCAGCCAUGCCGCGUGUGUGAAGAAGGCCUUAUGGUUGUAAAGCACCUUAAGCGAGGAGGAGGCUACUUUAGUUAAUACCUAGAGAUAGUGGACGUUACUCGCAGAAUAAGCACCGGCUAACUCUGUGCCAGCAGCCGCGGUAAGAC